AGCUCCAAUAGCGUAUAUUUAAGUUGUUGCAGUUAAAAAGCUCGUAGUUGGAUUUCGGAUGGGACUUGCCGGUCCGUCGUUUCGAUGUGCACUGGCCAGUCCUAUCUUGUUGUCGGGGACUAGCUCCUGGGCUUCACUGUCCGGGACUAGGAGCUGACGAGGUUACUUUGAGUAAAUUAGAGUGUUCAAAGCAAGCCUACGCUCUGAAUACAUUAGCAUGGAAUAACACGAUAGGACUCUGGCUUAUCUUGUUGGUCUGUGAGACCAGAGUAAUGAUUAAGAGGGACAGUCGGGGGCAUUCGUAUUUCAUUGUCAGAGGUGAAAUUCUUGGAUUUAUGAAAGACGAACUUCUGCGAAAGCAUUUGUCAAGGAUGUUUUCA
rnacentral:rRNA from 1 species